rnacentral:rRNA from 1 species
UACGAAGGGGGCUAGCGUUGCUCGGAAUCACUGGGCGUAAAGGGCGCGUAGGCGGCCAUUCAAGUCGGAGGUGAAAGCCCAGGGCUCAACCCUGGAAUUGCCUUCGAUACUGUUUGGCUAGAGACCGGAAGAGGUAAGUGGAACUGCGAGUGUAGAGGUGAAAUUCGUAGAUAUUGGGAAGAACACCGGUGGCGAAGGCGGCUAUCUGGCCCGUAAUUGACGCUGAGGCGCGAAAGCGUGGGGAGCAAACAGG